rnacentral:misc_RNA from 1 species
GCCGAACCACCGCGCUCCACUCGGCCGAUGCUGCGGAUCCUCCCGAUGGCCGCCUCCUCCAUCCACCUCGCUGCCUCUUCCUCCAUCCAUCUCUCUGCCGCCUCCGCCAGCAAGCUCUCCGGCGCCCGCUAUGCCCUCCCCUCCUUCAACUCCCCACGCCGCCUCGCCCCCUUCCAUCUCCGCCGCGAUAUAAAACCGACAUCCAGAUUCAUAACAGCGCAGGCAAAGAACACGGCCGCUGCCCCUGCCGGAAAGACGGCACAAGCGAGCGCGACUAUCAGUCAAGAGGAAGCGUUGGAGUGGGUGAAGAAGGACCGGCGGAGGCUGCUUCAUGUUGUUUAUCGCGUCGGGGACAUGGAGAAGACGAUUAAAUUUUAUACCGAGUGCUUGGGGAUGAAGCUGCUGAGGAAACGGGACAUCCCGGAGGAGAGAUACACCAAUGCGUUCCUCGGGUAUGGGCCCGAGGACUCACAUUUUGUCGUCGAGCUCACUUAUAAUUAUGGAGUUGAGAAGUAUGAUAUUGG